CCCAAGCUGAGUAGUGGGGUUGAGUGGUUAAGAAAGCAAAUGUUUGGAAAAUUAACCCUUCCUGACAUUAAAGCUGGCAGUUUGCUGUUUGUUUUCUCUGAAUGGGAUCUGACAAAGUUAAAAGGUUGAACCUGUCUGCACAUGCAUAUGCAGCUCCUACUGAUAGACAAAGGAGGCCAGUGUGUCUGUAGACUCUGAGGAUUAUGAUUAACCCGUUGAUUACCGAGGAAGCACUGGGGAAAGAUGGAGGUGUGAGAAUGAGGGAGGGAACUGGAGAAACAAUGCAAAAGAUAAGGAGAAGGUGUGGGUGAGAAGCAGGGGAAAAGGUGACAAACAUCUCAACAGCUAGUGAUAUGGUGUGUGUGUGUGUGUGUGUGUCUGUGUGUGUGUGUGAGAGAGAGAGAUUGUGGCAUAAUGCCAAGCUAUCUCACCU